rnacentral:rRNA from 1 species
UACGUAGGGUGCAAGCGUUAAUCGGAAUUACUGGGCGUAAAGCGUGCGCAGGCGGUUUUGUAAGUCUGUCGUGAAAUCCCCGGGCUUAACCUGGGAAUGGCGAUGGAGACUGCAAGGCUGGAGUUUGGCAGAGGGGGGUAGAAUUCCACGUGUAGCAGUGAAAUGCGUAGAGAUGUGGAGGAACACCGAUGGCGAAGGCAGCCCCCUGGGUCAAGAUUGACGCUCAUGCACGAAAGCGUGGGGAGCAAACAGG